rnacentral:rRNA from 1 species
UACAGAGGUCUCAAGCGUUGUCCGGAUUCAUUGGGCGUAAAGAGCGUGUAGGCGGCCUGAAAGGUCAGCUGUGAAAACUCGAGGCUCAACCUCGAGACGUCGGUUGAAACCAUCUGGCUAGAGUCCGGAAGAGGAGUGUGGAAUUCCCGUGUAGCGGUGAAAUGCGCAGAUAUCAGGAGGAACACCGGUGGCGAAGGCGGAUCUCUGGGCCGUACUGACUGCGUGAGGAGCGAAAGCGUGGGGAGCAACAGGAUUAGAACUACCGUGU